ACGUGGGGAGGUAUUCGCUCGGGGGGAGGCUCGAGAGGAAAGUCCGGACACCGUAGGGCAGAAUUCCCGGUGAAAACCGGGGCGGCGCGGGUCAAGCCGCGUUGACGGAAAGUGCAACAGAAAGCAUACCGCCCAUGUGAGUGGGUAAGGGUGAAAGGGUGCGGUAAGAGCGCACCGCGGCGGGGGUAAUCCCGCUGGCAGGGCAAACCCAAUUCGGUGCAAGACAAAAUAGGGGGCAGGGUGGCCCGUCCAUAUGUCCCGGGUAUGUCGCAUCCGCUUUGGCGGAAGUGUCCGUAUGGGCGCUAGAUAAAUGAAUGCCGCGGUAUUACAUUUACCGCACAGAAUCCGGCUUAUACCCCACACAUUUUU
rnacentral:RNase_P_RNA from 1 species